CACUAGUUUUUUUGCAGAUCGUUGGGCGCAUUUGACAGUUGACAUGUUCAUAUGAAAUAGGAUUCCAUGUGUAACCCAACAGCCUUCACCUAUAUAUACAACUUGCCGCAAGGACGCUUAUUUUUGCCCUACUCGGCCGCAGAGUUGGGUCAUAUAUAUUAAGCUGCAAGUUACCAAAAACUAACGGCAUGUUUGAAUUGAGGAGAGAGGGAGGGGAUGGAGGUGAACAGAGCAGCGUCAGCUGAAAAUAGCUCAUUUUGAGCUAAUUUUACCGGCUGAGGGUGAAGACACUAAUUCACGCGAAGUACUUCACCUAACAUAGGUUCCCUAGCACCUGCACACCUUUCACUUCACCAAUUUCAUUUUACUCAUACUUCUGCACUUAUCCUCCAGUAACAGCUAUCCUUACCGAUCAAAUACCCAUUCUUUUGUUGUCCAUGACAGUUUCCAUUUGAGAUUUGAAGAAAAGAAAGAAAGAUGAAUAUGAGUGCUACAGCUUAUUGAGGAUUUAGCAAAAUGAGAAAUAUUUAUUUGGGUUAUUUUGUUCAAGUUUGAUGGGGGUAUUUAUGGUAAAUCGUACUUUAAAAAUGCAUUUUACAACACUUCAUAAUGAUGUUUUCAAAUUCGCUGGAGAUACUGUAGAGUCUGUUUAUGCUGAUUAAAUCUAUAUUUUUAUAAUUUUUUUAUCUAUUUUUUUUUUAAGAUUAAAAAUUAUUAUUUAAAUACAUGUACUAAACCAACCUUAAUUUGUAAGUUUGUUUUGAAAUCUGAUUUCAAAAAAGUUAGAAUAUGCAUAACCAAACGGGUAGAAACGCUUUAUUUUCAAAAAAUGCGAGGCCAAAGGGACCCUAAUUAUAACCUUUUAUAUGUUUAUGAAAAAAAAAAAAAAAAAUCUACCAUUUCAGUCAAAAAAAAGGAAAAAAAAAAAAA